UUUAGUGGCGGACGGGUGAGUAACGCGUGAGAAUCUACCUUCAGGACGGAGACAACAGUUGGAAACGACUGCUAACCCCCGAUGUACUGAAAAGGCAAAUAUUUAUAGCCUGAAGAAGAGCUCGCGUCCGAUUAGCUAGUUGGAGAGGUAAAAGCUCACCAAGGCGACGAUCGGUAGCUGGUCUGAGAGGACGAUCAGCCACACUGGGACUGAGACACGGCCCAG
rnacentral:rRNA from 1 species